rnacentral:rRNA from 1 species
CCAGCACCCCGAGUGGUCGGGACGAUUAUUGGGCCUAAAGCAUCCGUAGCCGGUUUACAAGUCCUCCGUUAAAUCCAACUGCUUAACAGAUGGGCCGCGGAGGAUACUAUAAGACUAGGAGGCAGGAGAGGCAAGCGGUACUCAGUGGGUAGGGGUAAAAUCCGUUGAUCCAUUGAAGACCACCAGUGGCGAAGGCGGCUUGCCAGAAUGCGCUCGACGGUGAGGGAUGAAAGCUGGGGGAGCAAACCGGAUUAGAUACCCGGGUAGUCCCAGCUGUAAACGAUGCAGACUCGGUGAUGGACUAGCUUUAUGCUAGUCCAGUGCCGCAGGGAAGCCGUUAAGUCUGCCGCCUGGGUAGUACGGUCGCAAGACUG